rnacentral:lncRNA from 10 species
AUUCAGAGAAGCUUCUUCUUUUAGAGAAUCAGGCAGAACAACUAACCCAAGACACGUUAAGGAAGUUUGAAGAGAAAGUAAAAUUCAAGAGGAUGAAGUUGUUGAAUACAGUGAGUUCUAAAUUUCUCUUCAAAGAAUCAGUAUGUCAGUAUGUUCAGUUCUUUAUUCUCCAUUUUAUAGUUUAACUUCCUCAUUCUCCUCACCCCUAGUUUCAGUAGACAACCUUUUCCAGUUUUAAUCAGUAGUUCACAUCUGUUCCCCUGAAAAUUAUUUGUAACUUUCUGUAGCUCCCUGCCUGAGACAACGGGGACUCCCAGGACACAGGAAGAACAACCUUGCUCUGAGGAAUUGAGGAGGGCAGUAGCUUCCCAACCUAUCCUGGAAAGCAGCAUAUCUCAUUUACUGGUGUGUGCUAGAAUAUGGACUUCACAAAUACACCCUUGGGUCUGAAAGUCAGUUCCAGCACUUAUUAACUGGUUUGGGCAACACGUUUUAUGUCUCCGAGCCUUCUUUUUCUCUAUGUACAAAAUGUAGGCAGUACUGGCCACCUACAUUUUGUAAUAGUUUCCUUCCCUUCUGUGCCCUUCUCCUCUUUUCUUUCCCCCUUCUUUCCUCCCUCCUUCUCCCUCUUUUUCUCUGUU